AUCAGGUUAGCUCAGCUGGCAGAGCGUAGGUCUCAUAAUCCUAAGGUCGUGAGUUCAAUCCUCACACUUGAUA
rfam:Polysphondylium pallidum PN500 unplaced genomic scaffold PPL_scaffold1, whole genome shotgun sequence.